UGACCUGGACUCCUCAACUCUGUCCGCCU
rnacentral:piRNA from 1 species